GCAUGCGCUAAUGUUUACGGUGGAUGUAUCUAUGCAUCGCUGUGGCUCGCGGAGAUUUUUUCGUUCAACCGAACCAGUUUGACCCAGAAUCGGACCCAGAAGGAGAAGCUCCUGAAGAAGUACAGACUCUGUGGCUGCAGCAGGACGUUUCAGAAUGUGUGUGCAAUGUGGGCGUGGCUUGCUGGUUCCUGCUGCAGCAGAGUGACGCACCUGACAGUCAUCACCUCCUGCUGCAUCACCCUGAUCUCUCCACCACUGUUCCGUCUCAUCGAUAACACCACCAUCUCUCUGCUCAGCGAUCUGCUCCAUUGCCUGAUCACCGGUGUGUCCUGCACCUCCCCGGAAACCCAGAAGAUGACAGCGCCUGGUGGUUAAGGAAACAAGAAAAUUGGAUUGCUGGUCGGACACUCGGCUCAAUUCAACCUCUUGGAAAACAUAAAAACUAGCGUGGGAGGAAAUGGGAGUGAAUCCGUAUGUUUAUGAGAGGAAUAUAAGAUAAAUACAUUACCAAACAAAGAUCUACUCAUGUCUGUAAUUUGAACUGUCACAUUUAAUUAGAUUCAUUCCCAUUUGCCCCUAAUCAGUGUCCGAGUGUACAUUUUCUGUCACAAUCACUGGGGCGUUUCCUUUGUGAUCGUCAUCCUGACUCGUUCCAACUCUGCUUUCACAUCAUGUCAGUGUGAUUGUCUUCCAGUGUGUAAACGUUUGGCCUCGUUAAUGGAACCUGAUCCUCUCUGGGAAGGAAAACUGACCAACCCACUGUGCAAAUAACACGCUUUACAAACUAUAUUCUCCCUUUUAGUUCCCUUAAAACCAGAUAUUCGUUAUUCCAGAUAUUCAGCAUGUCACGUUUUUACCUAAUGAACAGAUCUGUGAGGUCAUGCAUCACCGCCCCUCCCUCAACAUCAGACUCAUGACAUGUGACUUUGGAUUAAAGCCCAACUGGCCUCUACAUAACCUCAUGAUCACUGCACGCUUGAACACUGUCCAGCCAAUCACACACCAAGAGUUAUUGCUUCCAAACAAAUUAAAUUAAUAAGGUGUGACAUAAACACAAACCUAUAGGUAACAAACCUUAUGUAAUACCUCUGUCGAUGAGACGAGGGGCUGAAACACGUGUAGUCAGACCCUUUGAAGUGAAGUGAAGGGAAGGCGGAGAGGAGGCUGCCAGACUUCCUCCUGGUUAACUAGACAUGUGAUUAGCAUUGCUGUCUGCAGCUUGAGUUUGCCCUGCAGUCAGCCUGGUCUGCCUCCAGAGGAAAUACAGCCUGAGGGUGAUUCUGCCAACACCAAGGUAAGUCAUAUUUACAUACAUUCAUCUACUCAUGGUGUAAAGAGAAAGGUGAGCUGUGUCUCUGAGGUGUUUCUAUCUUGUUUUUGCUCAUUUUUUUUUUAGAUGUUUUUGCUUCAAAAAUGUGUCUGCAGGCAACAGUAGUUUGGCUGAUUUUUACCAAACUGAUGUCUGGUUGCUUGUAAUUACAAUUCUUGCAUUUCAAAUCUUUUAGAGCGAAUGUUAAAGAGCUUUUGACAACAUCCCCCAACCUUCUGAAAUGUUUCCACACAUUUAAAUCUCCAUAAAAGUGAAUGUUAAAUGGUUUUAAUUGGAAUAAAAUGUAUGGUUUAUCUCCACUGUUGUGCGCCUGGGAAAGCUAUUCAAGGCGUGUGUGUGUGUGUGUGUGUGUGUGUGUGUGUGUGUGUGUGUGUGUGUGUGUGUGUGUGUGUGUCCUGUUAUCAGGCCAAACCUUCCUUUUGCAAACACAAGGAGUCCUUCAUAUGUGCACCUGUUGAGUUGUGUCCAUCAACUGUGGAUAAAACACAGACAAUCUCUGGUAGACCUCACGUGAAAGGAUUUUACUGAUGUAGGAAUGAAGACUAAAUAACGUAAAGAACAUUUUAAUGAUAUUUUAAAAGUGUGUUCUCCUCACUUAACAGGUGAGAUACAGAGCUGCUCACACCCGCUAAGCAAACAGAGCUUUUAUUUGCUGCUUCACUGUUCAAGUCUAAUAAUUCAAGUGUGAGAAAGUUUGAACUAUUAUUAUAUGUUGCUGUUUGAGUACAAUGUUCCACUCUUGUUUUUAAACUUGCAUGCUUGUCUCUUUAGCAUCAGUGCCCACUUCCAGAGGCAGUAAUUAGAUUCCGAGGUCGGUGGAAAACACAAUUAUGUGAUGUUCCUGAGCAUUCCUCUGGUCCGCCGUGAUUAUAAGAGUGUUUACAUGCAGUUCAGUGCUAUUGGUUGUGUGUGUGUGAGCAUUUAUGUGUUGAUCUCAUCCUCUGAGAACACUUAAUAUAAAACUGGACCGUCUUGAAUGUAGGGCAGGCUCCGUUUGAUAGAAACUUGAUUAAGACCCUUCAGCAAUGUGAUGGCUGAACUGUGCCAGACCUCACCACAUCACAGGACCGAUGCAUGUGAUGGAGAUGUUUUUGCCACCAAAUUUAGCUCCAGGUCACUGACCACUGAUCAAGACUAUCAUUCUGGUCUGCAGAGUACAGCCCGCUGUAGACUACCUGCUCACAUGUGAUACAGACAUGAGGCGUUUUUUGUUUUUUUAUGGAUCCCACCAGACUUUUGUAAGACCUGCUGUUCUGAUUGGUUUGUGUCCAUCGUUUUUAUGUGACAAAAGCCUCAAUUGCUUAAUGGUUCUGGUUCUCCAAGCCCAAUUAAAUCCAUUAAGAUUACAAACAACAUAAGGCACGAAUAGUGGUGAAGUUUAACAUAUAGGCACCUUCUUCCGAGUGUGAAAUAACAAGUAAAUCUGAGGAUAUUUUCAUGGCCCCUGUACUGUCUGUUCGACAAUCCGAAGAAGGUUGGAGGUCAGUGGGACAAAGUGAAUUUACUUUUAAAUCAGACCAAAAAUGAGACAAGAAUAAACUAGCUAGUGUGCUACUACCGAACUGUAGUUUCCCCAGUAAACACACCGACCUCUUCAGCUGUCCCAAAUUUAGUGUCUCUGGGCUGGUUAGGUAGAGCUGACCAGGCUGGGUGGUAGACCAGAGUCAGGGCAGCUCAGUGGCAGUGAGACUGACAUAGCUGAACAAUUAGAGGCAGCAUAGGCAGGACAAGAAGGUAGGCCAUCCAAUAAUAUGAUUUCGCUCAUUGAAAUGAUUGGUUCGGCUUGUUUGUGGCCUGCGAAAGCUACAAAUACUGGAUUUUUUUGUGUUUUCUGCUGCCCCAAAAUCUCCAAAAGAAUCAGUCAGUGUAGAUUUGAAACCUUAAAAAACGACUUUAAGUUUAACCCAGGCUUAAGUCAAGGCAUAACUUCCUGUCUUGACAAAGUCUGCCACAAGCAGCUUGUAAUAAACAAUUUUAUAUUGGAGGAAAUGUCAGAAAAAAGCGAGAUGUCAAGACUCUCACAUUCCAUACAUCAUUGUAGCCUUCGUUAACGGACACAAAGUGACCCCCAUGACUCUUCUGUGAACGUCAGAGCCCAACCCUAACCCUCCUCCUGUGCAAAUACACCUUCUUGAGCCAAAGAUAAUAAAAGGCUUCAGCCGCCUGAGUCGGCCAAUUAAUAAGUGAUCCUCUAAACUAUAAUCCUUUUCCUGCCACCACGUGUUUGCAUGUAGGUUUUUUUUUUCAGCAGGCCACAAUUUAAUUUUACUGUCAGGAUUGGAUCUAAUUCAUUUUUUACUGAUGUGUGCAGACUUCAACCUUGGUAAUGCUGUGUGAAUUUGAACUGUGAACAUGUGCUGAAUUUCUGUAACCAAUUGAUUAACACUUCUCUCUUGAAGUUUUGAACCACUGUGGGCAGUGCAACACUAAUGGAUUAUAUGAAAAAAAUGAAUGCAAUGACCUGCUUUUAAAAACUGGCAGUUGUUUGACUGCAGCUGCAUGCAUGUGAAAUCCUUCUCACGUUGUUUACACCUCUCUUGACACUAUUUGUGCGGACUUAUCCGUGCUUAAUUUGCAAACAGUUUAUUAUAAUUUUUAUUCUAUUACACAGCACCGGGCAGCUUCCCAGAUCUCAGGCAUCAGAUUCACAAUCAUGCCAGUAACCAUGACAGGCAAGAAGCUGGAUCUCUCCAAGCUCACGGAUGAUGAGGCCAAGCAUGUCUGGGCAGUCGUCCAGCGAGACUUUGACCUGAGGAAGAAGGAGGAGGACAGACUUGGGGAUCUGAAGACAAAGAUAGAAAAAGAAGACACCAAGAGAGAGCUGUUGGGAAACCAGAGCAGCCUGACUGAGUCACACUGUAUUCGAUGUCUGCAGCCCUUCAAGUUCCUGGUCAACACCAAGCGUCAGUGUCUGGACUGUCAGCUCUACAUCUGCAAGUCCUGCAGCCGCUACAACAAGAAGGAGCUGGGCUGGGUGUGUGAUCCCUGUCGCAUGGCCAGAGUCCUGAAGAUCGGUACUUUGGAGUGGUACCACGAAAAUGUUCGAGCACGCUUCAAGCGCUUCGGCAGCGCCAAGGUGAUGCGAUCGCUCUUCAAGAGGCUGAGUGGACAACACAGCUGCUCUCAGAGUGAGCUCGAAGCAGAUGGAUAUGAGGAGCACAGUAUGGACGCCACAGAUUCACAACACUACAAAGAGAUGAAAAAGGCCAAAAGGCGGCUAACUGUCGACCCCUUUGAUUUCGAGCUGGGCUGUGACUACCUCAUCGAACCCAGAGGACGGCCAAAUCAGGCCCAGGUCUCCCAAGACAUCAUGGACGUGGACGGAGGCAGGAGGGAGUCGAUGCUGGCGGAGGCGGACAUGGCCUCUGUUUUCCGCCAGAUUCUGAAGGAGCAACACGAAGGUCUGGACCUGAGGAGGGCUUCACAGCAAGAUGACCUCGUGUUCACAGACAACCGGACGAAUCCCUCUCGCUCCGUCUCCCGCCUCAGUUACUCCUCCGGCGGCAGCGGGAGUGCCUGGCGCCCCCGGAGCAGCAGCUACCUGCCCGGCCCCGACGACUCCGAGGGGGAGGACGACCACAGCCAGCUCUACCCGCUGUACCAGUCUCACCUGGGCUUCACCCACACCUCGCAGGAGAGCCUGAACUCAAUGAACCCUCCGCCGCAGAUCAACGAGCUGAACAGACGUGUUUCAGCCAUUGAGAACCUCCUGAACCACUUAGAGCAGAACGUCAUCUCAACAUAUGACCAGGCUCCUCCGACUCCUACCAGCUCCUCUCCUCUCCCUCAGUGGGAGGACGUGGACUUGGAGGAGCAGCAGCUGAGACAGAAGCUGCACGAGAUGACGGACAACAUCAGCGACCACAGCCUGAGCUCUGAUGAGGAGGGCUCCGGCCGGCCAGAGGUGGAGACCAAACCCUCCAGACUGCCCACCAGACCCGCAUCCAGAUCCAGCAUCACCGUCUCCAGACUGGAGGAGGAGCUGCCUCAGCAGACUCACCCUGAGAAGACGUACGUCUCAACGGAGAGCCUGGAGAGGAAGUGGCGCCCUCUGGAGGAGGGAUCGAAGGAGAGCUUCAGAGGCUCGACAGCCAUACUGGUGGAGCUGGAGGGCCAGGUGGCACAAGCUGCAGCCAACGUCCAGAGCGCCCAGAGUGAGGUUUCUUACAUAGAGAACCGGAUCGCUGCCCUGAAUGCUGCCGGGAUGCCAGUGGACAGAAGACGAAGGUCCGCGAUCCCGAUCCAAGCAAGAAGACUUUCCCACAACUUUCCCACAAACCAGGUGGACAGGUUUGUGAGGAACUCCCUCUACAGGGGCUCCCUGACUCAGAGGAACCCAGUGGCCAAGCCCACCCCCAGGGCUACCUCUGCGGUAUGACCCCCUCCCCCCCUCGACGGUGCUGGGUGCAAAGAAGAGUUCAGUUCCACUUCAGCUGAAAAACCAGUAAUGACUCAGGGCUCGUGAGGAGGCGGCUGAGCAUCUUGUGAUGUUCUCACAGUCUGUGAGACGAAAGAGAUUCAUAUUUAUAAUUCAAGACGCUGUUCAGAGGACGGGAGCGCUCACGUUUCUUUUUUAAACUGUUUCCUUGUUGUUGUGAUAUUAUUGUUGUUAUUUUACUGGGCUAGAUCCAAACUAUAUUUAUAUUUACAGUAGCUGUUGAAUGUUUCACAUCAUGAUAUGCACUAACUCUGCUGGACCUGAUACUGAUAUACGUAUAACUAAUAUACGUUAAUCUGCAAGUUAAUCUCUUCACCUUAAUGUGCGGAAGUUUUCACUUGUGCUAAUCUAAAAUCCGUAGUGAUUUAUUUAGAUGUUCAGAUGGUACAAAUGAAAGCUACAACAUUUUGAAUUAUGCUUUCUUUAUUACACAAAUAGUCAGCCAAUCCAAAAAUACUCCUUUCUUCUUCUCUUUCUUUUUACGUCUUCUUUAAUUAUCUUCACUCCUCUCACUAGAAGAAAGAUUAAACAUAUUGUCAAAUGUUAGUUAGAGAAAUCUUGAUGUAUAUAAAUCUAAUAAAUAUAGACAUUUAUUCAUGUUCCCUGUGUAUAUGCAUUGGUGCACAAUAUAUCUGAAAUAUGUAGUUAACUUUUGUUUAUCUUUAUAUAUUGAAGAUAAGAUAUAACAGCUUUAAUGAUAUUCAGUUUUUCACCUUUCUUCUGCAUAAUCAAUCGACUAAAUCAUAUUUAUAAGGCUCUACAGAUGUGAAGUUGAAUUUCAUUUGGGAAAACGUCUUAAAUUUGGACUUUUGGUCCUUUUUUUUUUAAACCACAAGUCUCAUAUAUAUCAUCAUUUAAAGCAGCAUUAUGUAGAAGUUGGCAUCUUGUGCAACACCACUGUUGUAAACUCAAAUCCCACGUCUGUAACAGUUUGUUAGGUGCCGAUUACAAAUAAAACUCAUGACGUCAUCACAAUGUCAUGUGUUGAAAACAUGUCAUCUUGUUACAAGAAGCUGAACCAUCUAUCAUCCUUAUUUUAAAGUCAAAAAGUUACAUAAUGUUGCUUUAAUUAUGACAAUAAUGAAUCUUUAUCUGUGUGUUUUCUUUCAUACUUCAUGAAUUAACGUCUGCGGUACAAAUGAAAUCAUGACACCAAAUGAAAAUUCAGAUUGUUAUAUUUCCUCUGUGUUAGUCAGUCGGUCCAAACGCAGUUCAGUAACAAACUGUGAAUCAGUUUGUGAUUGUUUAAUUUUUGUUUUAAAAUCAGCUGUAUUAUUUGAAUGAUAUCAUAGCAAGUCUAUUGUGGUUAGUUAAAGGUACAACAAUGAAUGUAAAUCAAAUAAAUACAGACAUCUAUGCACUUUC